AUUGAACGCUGGCGGCAGGCCUAACACAUGCAAGUCGAGCGGAUGAAGGGAGCUUGCUCCUGGAUUCAGCGGCGGACGGGUAAGUAAUGCCUAGGAAUCUGCCUGGUAGUGGGGGAUAACGUCCGGAAACGGGCGCUAAUACCGCAUACGUCCUGAGGGAGAAAGUGGGGGAUCUUCGGACCUCACGCUAUCAGAUGAGCCUAGGUCGGAUUAGCUAGUUGGUGGGGUAAAGGCCUACCAAGGCGACGAUCCGUAACUGGUCUGAGAGGAUGAUCAGUCACCAUGGAACUUGGACCCCGGCCCGAACCCCAAGGGAGGCCGCAGUUGGGAAGUUUGGACAAUGGGCGAAAGCCUGAUCCAGCCAUGCCGCGUGUGUGAAGAAGGUCUUCGGAUUGUAAAGCACUUUAAGUUGGGAGGAAGGGCAGUAAGUUAAUACCUUGCUGUUUUGACGUUACCAACAGAAUAAGCACCGGCUAACUUCGUG
rnacentral:rRNA from 1 species